GACGAACGCUGGCGGCGUGCUUAACACAUGCAAGUCGAACGGAAAGGCCCUGCUUGCAGGGUACUCGAGUGGCGAACGGGUGAGUAACACGUGGGUGAUCUGCCCUGCACUUCGGGAUAAGCCUGGGAAACUGGGUCUAAUACCGGAUAGGAGCCAUUUUUAGUGUGAUGGUUGGAAAGUUUUUUCGGUGUAGAAUGAGCUCGCGGCCUAUCAGCUUGUUGGUGGGGUAAUGGCCUACCAAGGCGGCGACGGGUAGCCGGCCUGAGAGGGUGGACGGCCACAUUGGGACUGAGAUACGGCCCAGACUCCUACGGGAGGCAGCAGUGGGGAAUAUUGCACAAUGGGCGCAAGCCUGAUGCAGCGACGCCGCGUGGGGGAUGACGGCCUUCGGGUUGUAAACUCCUUUCGCUAGGGACGAAGCUUUUUGUGACGGUACCUAGAUAAGAAGCACCGGCUAACUACGUG
rnacentral:rRNA from 1 species